rnacentral:rRNA from 1 species
CAAGUAAUUAAGUGCAUGUGGUGGAUGCCUUGGCAGUCAGAGGCGAUGAAAGACGUGAUAGCCUGCGAAAAGCUCCGGGGAGGCGGCAAAUAUCCUUUGAUCCGGAGAUGUCUGAAUGGGGGAACCCACCUACUUUAAGGUAGGUAUUGCAACAUGAAUACAUAGUGUUGCAAGGCGAACGAGGGGAAGUGAAACAUCUCAGUACCCUUAGGAAAAGAAAUCAAUUGAGAUUCCCUCAGUAGCGGCGAGCGAACGGGGAUCAGCCCAUUAAGUUAUGUGUGUUUUAGUGGAACGCUCUGGGAAGUGCGAACGUAGAGGGUGAUAUUCCCGUACACGAAAGGGCACACAUAAUGAUGACGAGUAGGGCGAGGCACGUGAAACCUUGUCUGAAUAUGGGGGGACCAUCCUCCAAGGCUAAAUACUCCUGACUGACCGAUAGUGAACCAGUACCGUGAGGGAAAGGCGAAAAGAACCCCUGUGAGGGGAGUGAAAUAGAUCCUGAAACCGCAUGCAUACAAGCAGUGGGAGCACCUUCGUGGUGUGACUGCGUACCUUUUGUAUAAUGGGUCAGCGACUUAUAUUCAGUAGCGAGGUUAACCGUAUAGGGGAGCCGUAGAGAAAUCGAGUCUUAAUAGGGCGUUUAGUUGCUGGGUAUAGACCCGAAACCAGGCGAUCUAUCCAUGAGCAGGUUGAAGGUUGGGUAACACUAACUGGAGGACCGAACCCACUGUCGUUGAAAAGCCAGGGGAUGACUUGUGGAUAGGGGUGAAAGGCUAAUCAAGCCUGGUGAUAGCUGGUUCUCCCCGAAAGCUAUUUAGGUAGCGCCUCGGACGAAUACCAUAGGGGGUAGAGCACUGUUUCGGCUAGGGGGUCAUCCCGACUUACCAAACCGAUGCAAACUCCGAAUACCUAUGAGUACUAUCCGGGAGACAGACUGCGGGUGCUAACGUCCGUAGUCAAGAGGAAAACAAUCCAGACCGCCAGCUAAGGCCCCAAAAUCAUAGUUAAGUGGGAAACGAUGUGGGAAGGCAUAGACAGCUAGGAGGUUGGCUUAGAAGCAGCCACCCUUUAAAGAAAGCGUAAUAGCUCACUAGUCGAGUCGGCCUGCGCGGAAGAUGUAACGGGGCUAAAACUAUGUGCCGAAGCUGCGGAUGUAUACUUUGUAUACGUGGUAGGGGAGCGUUCUGUAAGCCGAUGAAGGUGUGUUGAGAAGCAUGCUGGAGGUAUCAGAAGUGCGAAUGCUGACGUGAGUAACGACAAAACGGGUGAAAAACCCGUUCGCCGAAAGACCAAGGGUUCCAGUCCAACGUUAAUCGGGGCUGGGUGAGUCGACCCCUAAGGCGAGGCCGAAAGGCGUAGUCGAUGGGAAAAUGGUUAAUAUUCCAUUACUUCUGUGUAAUGCGAUGAGAGGACGGAGAAGGCUAAAUCAGCCUGGCGUUGGUUGUCCAGGUGAAAGGAUGUAGGCAUGUAUCUUAGGCAAAUCCGGGGUACUCUAUGCUGAGAUCUGAUAGCAAGCUGUACUUGUACAGCGAAGUGGUUGAUGCCAUGCUUCCAGGAAAAGUCUCUAAGCUUCAGUUACACAGGAAUCGUACCCGAAACCGACACAGGUGGUCAGGUCGAGUAGACCAAGGCGCUUGAGAGAACUCUGCUGAAGGAACUAGGCAAAAUGGUACCGUAACUUCGGGAGAAGGUACGCUGUUGUUGGUGAUGGAACUCGCUUCCUGAGCUGACGACAGCCGCAGAAACCAGGCCGCUGCAACUGUUUAUUAAAAACAUAGCACUCUGCAAACACGAAAGUGGACGUAUAGGGUGUGAUGCCUGCCCGGUGCUGGAAGGUUAAUUGAUGGGGUUAGCGUAAGCGAAGCUCUUGAUCGAAGCCCCAGUAAACGGCGGCCGUAACUAUAACGGUCCUAAGGUAGCGAAAUUCCUUGUCGGGUAAGUUCCGACCUGCACGAAUGGCAUAAUGAUGGCGGCGCUGUCUCCAGCAGAGGCUCAGUGAAAUCGAAAUCGCUGUGAAGAUGCAGUGUACCCGCGGCUAGACGGAAAGACCCCGUGAACCUUUACUGCAGCUUGACACUGAACUUUGACCUUACUUGUGUAGGAUAGGUGGGAGGCUUUGAAGCUGGAACGCUAGUUCCAGUGGAGCCGUCCUUGAAAUACCACCCUGGUAAUGUUGAGGUUCUAACUCUGUCCCGUGAUCCGGGACGAGGACCGUGUCUGGUGGGUAGUUUGACUGGGGCGGUCUCCUCCUAAAGAGUAACGGAGGAGUACGAAGGUGCGCUCAGCGUGGUCGGAAAUCACGCGUAGAGUAUAAAGGCAAAAGCGCGCUUAACUGCGAGACCCACAAGUCGAGCAGGUACGAAAGUAGGUCUUAGUGAUCCGGUGGUUCUGUAUGGAAGGGCCAUCGCUCAACGGAUAAAAGGUACUCUGGGGAUAACAGGCUGAUACCGCCCAAGAGUUCAUAUCGACGGCGGUGUUUGGCACCUCGAUGUCGGCUCAUCUCAUCCUGGGGCUGAAGCAGGUCCCAAGGGUAUGGCUGUUCGCCAUUUAAAGAGGUACGCGAGCUGGGUUUAGAACGUCGUGAGACAGUUCGGUCCCUAUCUACCGUGGGCGCUGGAAAUUUGAGAGGAUCUGCUCCUAGUACGAGAGGACCAGAGUGGACGAACCUCUGGUGUACCGGUUGUGACGCCAGUCGCAUCGCCGGGUAGCUAUGUUCGGAAGGGAUAACCGCUGAAAGCAUCUAAGCGGGAAGCCUACCUCAAGAUAAGAUUUCCCUAGGACUUUAUGUCCUCUAAAGAGCCGUUCGAGACUAGGACGUUGAUAGGUUGGAUGUGGAAGCAUAGUGAUAUGUGAAGCUGACCAAUACUAAUUGCUCGUGAGGCUUGA